rnacentral:tRNA from 1 species
GAUACAGCUCAGUGGUAGAGCACUUGCCUAGCAUGCAUGAGACCCUGAGUUUGAUUCCCAGCA